CUACGGGAGGCACCAGUGAGGAAUAUUGCGCAAUGGGGGAAACCCUGACGCAGCGACGCCGCGUGGAUGAUGAAGGCCUUCGGGUCGUAAAAUCCUGUCAGAAGGAAGGAAGUGUAUGGUAGCUAAUAUCUGCCAUACUUGACGGUACCUUCAAAGGAAGCACCGGCUAACUCCGUGCCAGCAGCCGCGGUAAUACGGAGGGUGCAAGCGUUGUUCGGAAUUAUGGGCGUAAAGCGCGCGUAGGCGGUUUUAUAAGUCAGUUGUGAAAGUCCACGGCUCAACCAUGGAAGUGCAUUUGAAACUGUAAGACUUGAGUAUUGGAGGGGGUAGUGGAAUUCCCGGUGUAGAGGUGAAAUUCGUAGAUAUCGGGAGGAAUACCGGUGGCGAAGGCGACUAUCUGGCCAAAUACUGACGCUGAGGUGCGAAAGCGUGGGGAGCAAACAGGAUUAGAUACCCCCGUAGUC
rnacentral:rRNA from 1 species